UGCGAAUGUGUGAGCAUGUGUGAGUUCCUGCGUGUGUGACUUCAGGCGUGUGUGUGUGUGUGUUUGUGUGUGUGUUGGAAUGGGGGUGGGGGGCGGUCCUGGAAAGGCCGAGAGCCUUGGAAUCUGAGGAGUCUGCAGCCCAUUCUUGAUACUGCUUUACUUUCCAAAAAGUUAUGACAACAAAACCACCCUGGGGCCCAGACCUGGAAGCCGUCAGCUAUGGAGGACCCUGGAAGCAGGCAGAGAAAGGUUUGGAGUUUUCAGUGCGAUGACACCAGCGUGCCUGCGGAAGUGGCUGUGUCUCCUCUUGCCUCCUUCCCCACCCAAUUCCGCCCCAGGAGCCCAGGGAUGGAGGCCCAGGAGACGGAUCCCACAAGAGCCAGCACCCACUCCACCCCAGGUAGCUGGCAGUAUCUGUCUCUUCA
rnacentral:lncRNA from 1 species